rnacentral:lncRNA from 1 species
UCUCAAACCAGAAGCCAAGAUGGACCUCGGUUCCUCUCUGUCCUUGUUCUGCUUUCCCAGGUGGAGCUGAGGUGCUGUCUGAAGCUGGUUGCCCGAGAUGCCAGGGCUGCUGCCUCGUCACUCUGCCCACUCUGGUGGCUGCGCUGCCAGGAGCAGCACGUCGUGUCACUUCUUGACGCGUGCCGCCUCCAGGGGAGAGACACCUCUGACAGCUGGCCAGGGAACGGCCCUGAUGGCAACUGUCAGAACACCCCAUAGCCUGCACUUUCGAGCAGGAGAGAGAAAAUUUCACUGCUGCAAUAAGACAACAGACAAUACGCUUGAAACUAAACUAACCUUAAUUGCUGUUGAGGCUGAAGAAGCUCCUGCUAAUGGAGGCGCUGCCCCAGGUAGAGGAAAUGUCCUGCUCUGCCCGAGACUGCAGAGGGCUCAUGGCCCUAAGGCCUCUCGAAGACACACAAGCUCUCUGGAUUGA